AAAUGACUACUAAAUUUGAGUUUUGGUUAACAUGAAAGCAAACAACCUAAUUGAUAGUUGAUACUAACGUGUUAUUGGCCUAAUGGUAAAUCUCCCAGGUGGAGAUGCUGGGUUCAAGGUACGUUGGGAGAGAUCUUUUCUCCAAAGGAGAUUAAUUUAAAUCCCGCCUCUGGAACUGUUCUUUUGGAUUAAAUCAUUAUAGCAUUUGCUUUAAUC
rnacentral:sRNA from 1 species